UGGGCCUCUCGACUGUUGGCGACGGUGGUCCGGCGUUGCGGUGUGCUGAUGCGAGUGCUGUCACAGCCUGUAGCGCAACAGUUUAGCUGGUGGUUAACGGCUCUAAACCUGUGGAGUCACCUGGCCGGCGUUCUGUAUGUGCACGCGACAUUGCUCCCGGUCCGUGUGAGAGAAUCGUUUGCUGUGCGGGCUGUCUCGCUCUUGCCUGUGGGCUGAUUAUGUGUGUGUGCUGUGGAACAGUGGGGUGAUCUGCUGCACUACUGCCUCGUCGGGGGGUUUGAACGGCGGCUUGGUCCGUCUGCCUGGUCAGUUCCAGCUCUGUCUUGGCUCUAAGCGGCUUGCGGGUCUUAGCAUUUCUUUGUUGUUUGGGUCUAGUUAUAGAAUAUUUAGAGUGUGUGAAUUAAUUGAUUUGCAUGUUUUGAUUUAUUUCUGGUGUUUUAUUUAUCCUUUUUUGCCACUGUAUUUUAAAUAGGAUAUUGUAUUUUUAAUUAUUAGGCCCAUACUUCUAUUUUACUCAAUAAUGGCAUGCCUCCUUAAGUGGUAUACAUAGUUGGUAUUUGUUUGUUCUGUUAAAUUACUUUUGGUUUGGUUCUUUAGUCUUUAAUUAGUACUUUGUUAGUUAAUAAAACAAUUUGUUUAAAUGUGAAA